rnacentral:rRNA from 1 species
AGGACGAACGCUGGCGGUGUGCUUCACACAUGCAAGUCGAACGAGGUAGCAAUACCUAGUGGCGGACGGGUGAGUAACGCGUUGGGAAUCUGCCUUUAGAUGGGGGAUAACGGGCCGAAAGGUCCGCUAAUACCGCAUAGGCCGCAAGGUUAAAGGAGUAAUCCGUCUAAAGAUGAGCCCGCGUCCGAUUAGCUAGUUGGUAGGGUAAAAGCCUACCAAGGCGACGAUCGGUAGCUGGUCUGAGAGGAUGAUCAGCCACAAUGGGACUGAGACACGGCCCAUACUCCUACGGGAGGCAGCAGUGGGGAAUUUUGUGCAAUGGGCGAAAGCCUGACACAGCGACACCGCGUGAGCGAAGAAGCCCUUUGGGGUGUAAAGCUCUGUCAGCUGGAACGAAAAAAAUGACGGUACCAGCAGAGGAAGCAUCGGCUAACUACGUGCCAGCAGCCGC